UUGUCCUACGGGAGGCAGCAGUGGGGAAUAUUGCACAAUGGGGGGAACCCUGAUGCAGCGACGCCGCGUGGGUGAAGAAGUCAUUCGUGACGUAAAGCCCUAUCAGCAGGGAAGAAAAUGACGGUACCUGACUAAGAAGCCCCGGCUAACUACGUGCCAGCAGCCGCGGUAAUACGUAGGUGGCAAGCGUUGUCCGGAUUUACUGGGUGUAAAGGGCGUGUAGCCGGGCCGGCAAGUCAGAUGUGAAAUCCCAAGGCUCAACCUUGGAACUGCAUUUGAAACUGUUGGUCUUGAGUAUCGGAGAG
rnacentral:rRNA from 1 species